GGCGGACGGGUGAGUAACACGUGGAUAACCUACCUAUAAGACUGGGAUAACUUCGGGAAACCGGAGCUAAUACCGGAUAACAUAUUGAACCGCAUGGUUCAAUAGUGAAAGGCGGCUUUGCUGUCACUUAUAAAUGGAUCCGCGCCGUAUUAGCUAGUUGGUAAGGUAACGGCUUACCAGGGCAACAAUACGUACCCAACCUGAGAGGGUGAUCGGCCACACUGGAACUGAAACACGGUCCAAACUCCUACGGGAGGCAGCAGUAGGGAAUCUUCCGCAAUGGGCGAAAGCCUGACGGAGCAACGCCGCGUGAGUGAUGAAGGUCUUCGGAUCGUAAAACUCUGUUAUCAGGGAAGAACAAAUGUGUAAGUAACUGUGCACAUCUUGACGGUACCUGAUCAGAAAGCCACGGCUAACUACGUGCCAGCAGCCGCGGUAAUACGUAGGUGGCAAGCGUUAUCCGGAAUUAUUGGGCGUAAAGCGCGCGUAGGCGGUUUUUUAAGUCUGAUGUGAAAGCCCACGGCUCAACCGUGGAGGGUCAUUGGAAACUGGAAAACUUGAGUGCAGAAGAGGAAAGUGGAAUUCCAUGUGUAGCGGUGAAAUGCGCAGAGAUAUGGAGGAACACCAGUGGCGAAGGCGACUUUCUGGUCUGUAACUGACGCUGAUGUGCGAGAGCGUGGGGAUCAAACAGGAUUAGAUACCCUGGUAGUCCACGCCGUACACGAUGAGUGCUAGGUGUUAGGGGGUUCCGCCCCUUAGUGCUGCAGCUAACGCAUUAAGCACUCCUCCCUGGGGAGUACGACCGCAAGGUUGAAACUCAAAAGGAAUUGACGGGGACCCGCACACGCGGUGGAGCAUGUGGUUUAAUUCGAAGCAACGCGAAGAACCCUACCAAAUCUUGACAUCCUUUGACCGCUCUAGAGAAAGAGUGUUUCCCCUUUGGGGACAAAAAGACAGGUGGUGCAU
rnacentral:rRNA from 1 species